UAGGGAAUAUUAGUAAUGGGCGCAAGCCUGAACUAGCAACGCCGCGUGUGCGAAAAAGGCCUUCGGGUUGUAAAGCACUUUUUGAGAGGAUGAGGAAGGACGGUACUCUCAGAAUAAGUCUCGGCUAACUACGUGCCAGCAGCCGCGGUAACACGUAGGAGGCGAACGUUAUCCGGAUUUACUGGGCGUAAAGCGCGUGUAGGUGGUUUGGUAAGUAGGGCGUGAAAGCUCCUGGCUCAACCGGGAGAGGCCGUUCUAAACUGCCGAACUAGAGGAUGGUAGAGGGAGGUGGAAUUCCGGGUGUAGCGGUGGAAUGCGCAGAUAUCCGGAGGAACACCAGUGGCGAAAGCGGCCUCCUGGACCAUUCCUGACACUCAGACGCGAAAGCUAGGGUAGCAAACGG
rnacentral:rRNA from 1 species